CACCGCCGCCGCCGUUGCCGCCGGCCACCGCGCCUGUUGCUGUCGCCGCUGCGGGACCCGCUGUAUCCUCAGCCCGGAGAAGAGGCGGGAGACCGGCCCAGCGGUCUCCGCUCCCGGUCCCCGGCGGAGGGAAGAGCGCAGUCAGCGGCUACCAUGGAUGCCUCGCCCUCCCAGGCCGUCCCCAGGAUGCCCCAGAGCACCUGCGCGCCCGGGCAGGGCCAGGGGCUCUGAUCGCCGCCACACAGGGUUCUGCAUCUCAAGCGUGUAAAAUAGAGAUUGCUCAGUCUAAAACAGAAAAACAGUGGCAAGGUUUCGCUCAGUCUCCAGACCUUUUCCAAGAUGGAACCAAUAACAUUCACGGCAAAGAAACAUCCCUUCCCUAAUGAGGUCUCGGUGGACUUUGGCCUUCAGCUGGUGGGCUCUUUGCCUGUGCAUUCUCUGACCACCAUGCCCAUGCUGCCAUGGGUGGUGGCUGAGGUGCGAAGACUAAGUGGCCAGUCCUCCAAAAAAGAGGCAGCCACCAGGCAAGUCCGGCUUUGUGUUUCGCCCUCUGGACUGCGAUGUGAACCUGAGCCAGGGAAAAGUCAACAGUGGGACCCACUGAUCUGUUCCAGCAUCUUCGAGUGCAAACCGCAGCAUGUUCACAAACUGAUUCACAAUAGUCACGACCCGAGCUACUUUGCUUGUCUCAUUAAAGAAGAUACUGUCCGCCGGCAGAGCAUCUGCUAUGUGUUCAAAGCCGAUGAUCAAACAAAAGUGCCUGAGAUCAUCAGCUCCAUCCGACAGGCCGGCAAGAUCGCCCGCCAGGAGGAGCUGCGCUGCCCGUCCGAGUUCGAUGACACGUUCGCCAAGAAGUUCGAGGUGCUCUUCUGUGGUCGAGUGACAGUGGCCCACAAGAAGGCCCCGCCAGCCCUGAUUGAUGAGUGCAUUGAGAAGUUCAACCACGUGAGCUGCAGCCGGAGAGCAGAUUGGGAGGCGGCGCUGCCAGUGCCUGUGCCCCCGAUCGCCACCCCCGCGGAGCCCCGCCGGCCCAUGCGCAAGUCCUUCUCCCAGCCUGGCCUGCGCUCCAUGGCCUUCAGGAAGGAGUUCCAGGAUGGAAGCCUGCGGAACAGCAGGUUCUUCAGCUCUUUUGAGGAAAACGACAUCGAGAGCCACCUAAUUAGUGGACACAAUAUUGUGCAGCCAACAGACAUUGAGGAAAAUCGAACUAUGCUCUUUACGAUUGGCCAAUCUGAAGUUUACCUCAUCAGUCCUGACACCAAAAAAAUAGCAUUGGAGAAAAAUUUUAAGGAGAUAUCCUUUUGCUCUCAGGGCAUCCGACACGUGGACCACUUUGGGUUUAUCUGCCGGGAGUCUUCAGGUGGUGGCGGCUUUCAUUUCGUCUGUUACGUGUUCCAGUGUGCAAAUGAAGCUCUGGUGGACGAGAUCAUGAUGACACUGAAGCAGGCUUUCACAGUGGCCGCGGUACAGCGGACAGCGAAGGCGCCAGCCCAGCUUUGUGAGGGCUGUCCCCUGCAGAACCUGCACAAGCUCUGUGAGAGGAUAGAGGGAAUGAAUUCUUCCAAAACCAAACUAGAACUCCAAAAGCACCUGACAACACUGACGAAUCAGGAGCAAGCAACUAUUUUUGAGGAGGUUCAGAAAUUAAGACCAAGAAAUGAGCAACGAGAGAAUGAAUUGAUUAUUUCUUUUCUGAGAUGUUUAUAUGAAGAGAAGCAAAAAGAACAUACCCACAUUGGGGAGAUGAAGCAGACAUUGCAGAUUGCAGCGGAGAAUAUUGGAAGUGAAUUACCACCCAGUGCCACUCGAUUUAGGCUAGACAUGCUGAAAAACAAAGCAAAAAGGUCUUUAACAGAGUCUUUAGAAAGUAUUUUGUCCCGGGGUAAUAAAGCCAGAGGCCUUCAGGAACAAUCUGCCAGCAUGGAUCUGGACAGCUCUGUGUCUAGUACAUUAAGUAACACCAGCAAGGAGCCAUCCAUGGGUGACAAGGAUACCCUGCCCAUCUCUGAGAGCUCCUUCAAACUCUUAGGCUCCUCGGAUGACCUGUCCAGUGACUCGGAGAGCCUACUCACUGAAGAACCUGCUUUGCUGUCACCUCAGCAGGCCUUUCGAAGGCGAGCAAACACCCUGAGUCAUUUUCCCGUGGAGUGCCUCGAGCCUCCAGAACCUGCUCAGGGCUCCCCAGGGGUCUCUCAAAGAAAACUUAUGAGGUAUCACUCCGUGAGCACAGAGACACCUCAUGAACGGAACAUGGAUCAUCCUACUGUGGGCGAAUCUAAGGGUUGCUCAGGUCAGCCUUCAGCUCCUGCUCCUCCACCUCGUCUUAACCCCUCUGCCUCCUCGCCAAACUUUUUUAAGUAUAUAAAGCAUAAUUCCAGUGGAGAACAAAGUGGGAAUGCUGUGGCAAAGAGCAUCUCCUACCGUAAUGCCCUGCGGAAAAAACUUCAUUCUUCCUCCUCUGUGCCAAAUUUUCUAAAAUUUCUGGCUCCUGUAGAUGAAAAUAACACAUCUGACUUUAUGAACACAAAAAGGGACUUUGAGUCCAAAGCAAAUCAUGUGGGUGAUGUGGACACGACCCCAGUGAAGACCCGGCGGCACUCAUGGCGGCAGCAGAUCUUCCUCCGCGUGGCUACCCCACAGAAGGCGAGCGACAGCCCUGGCAGAUACGAAGAUUAUUCAGAGCUGGGAGAGCUUCCUCCACGAUCUCCUUUAGAGCCAGUGUGUGAAGAUGGGCCGUUUGGCCCUGUCCCAGAGGAAAAGAAGAGGACAUCACAUGAGCUGCGGGAACUGUGGAAAAAGGCCAUUCUACAACAAAUACUGCUCCUCAGGAUGGAGAAGGAAAACCAGAAGCUACAAGCCUCUGAGAAUGAUUUGCUGAACAAGCGCCUAAAGCUCGAUUAUGAAGAAAUCACUCCUUGUCUUAAAGAAGUAACUGCGGUGUGGGAAAAGAUGCUUAGCACUCCAGGAAGGUCAAAAAUUAAGUGUGACAUGGAAAAAAUGCACUCUGCUGUUGGGCAAGGUGUGCCACGUCAUCACCGUGGUGAAAUCUGGAAAUUUCUAGCUGAGCAGUUCCACCUUAAACACCCAUUUCCCAGUAAACAGCAGCCAAAGGAUGUGCCAUACAAAGAACUCUUAAAACAGCUUACCUCCCAGCAGCAUGCAAUUCUUAUCGACCUCGGGCGAACCUUUCCAACACAUCCAUACUUCUCUGCCCAGCUUGGAGCAGGGCAGCUGUCACUUUACAACAUUCUCAAGGCCUACUCACUUCUAGACCAAGAAGUAGGGUACUGCCAAGGUCUCAGCUUUGUGGCUGGCAUUUUGCUUCUUCAUAUGAGUGAGGAAGAGGCAUUUAAAAUGCUCACGUUUCUGAUGUUUGACAUGGGACUGAGGAAACAGUACCGGCCGGACAUGAUUAUUUUACAGAUCCAGAUGUACCAGCUCUCAAGGCUUCUUCACGAUUACCAUAGAGACCUCUACAAUCACCUGGAGGAGCACGAGAUUGGCCCCAGCCUUUACGCUGCACCGUGGUUUCUCACGGUUUUCGCCUCGCAGUUCCCACUGGGAUUUGUAGCCAGAGUCUUUGAUAUGAUCUUCCUUCAGGGAUCAGAGGUCAUAUUUAAAGUGGCUUUAAGUCUGUUGGGAAGCCAUAAGCCCUUGAUUCUGCAGCAUGAAAACCUAGAAACCAUAGUGGACUUUAUAAAAAACACACUACCCAACCUAGGCUUGGUACAAAUGGAGAAGACCAUCAACCAGGUGUUUGAGAUGGACAUCGCUAAACAGUUACAAGCUUAUGAGGUUGAGUACCAUGUACUUCAAGAAGAACUUAUUGAUUCCUCUCCUCUCAGUGACAACCAAAGAAUGGAUAAAUUAGAGAAAACCAACAGCAGCUUACGCAAACAGAACCUUGACCUCCUGGAACAAUUGCAGGUAGCAAAUGGCAGGAUCCAAAGCCUGGAAGCCUCAGUAGAGAAGCUCCUGGCCAGUGAGAACAAGCUGAAGCAGGCUGCACUAGCCUUGGAGCUGGAGCGGUCCGCCCUGCUGCAGAUGGUGGAGGAACUGCGGAGGCAGCCUGCCCAGCUGAGUGAGGGCCCAGGAGCCUGACUGAACCCACUCCUGCCUGCGGGUGACUGACGGCGCAGAGAGAAACUGCACAGCAUCCUACCACUGUCCAGGCCUUAACCCAGAGGGAUGCUGGAGGCAAAGAGCAGAGCAGAGUGGGAAGCGAACUUCUCAGGGAGGAAAUUGGCUCGCCAAUGUGUGGAUUCUUUUGAGCUCAGACUUGAAAUUCAGAAGAUGAAUGUCCCAGGGUUUUGUUGUUUUAGGUCCUAAUCGGUCCUUUCUCCAAUUCUGAUUACUGUACUCAGUAGCUUUAGAAGGCAUGGACUUGAAUAAAUGCACAUUUCUGUUUCCUUGUUGUUUUCUUUUUCAGUAGCACUGUGUGUAAGGAGCAUUCAUAAUACUGGGAUUCCAGAAGCAGAAAAGGCUCAAGAUAAUUCCUCAGUAAAAGUGUGAGUUACUCUUCGAGAGGGUUCAGGUGACCACACCUUCAGUGUCAACUGCGAGAUGCACUUGUCCAUUCUUGUUACGGAAACCUAAGAUGACUCUGGGGAAGGGCUGAAGGAACAUAUUUAAAUUGGACAUCUUGACCAUUAUCAAGUAAAUCUGAUCACUGCCUUUGAUACUUCAGGAAGUUUGUCUUUUUAAAAAAUACAGCGUUUCCAUAUGUUUUUGCUCAUCCUUUUAAGUACAGUUGAUCAAAGUCAUAGUAGAUAAAUGUUUUGAGAGAAAAAUCACCAGUUUUUAGACUCCGUCAGAUAUCACUAGUGUGUGACCUGCAGUUGUAGAGUCUAAAAUAUUUAUUUCUUUGUGGUAGUUUCAUGUCCAUACCAUAGAGACAUAUAUUUAUUUUUGCCUGUUGUAUGAUAUGUUGCAGCCAUGUGUUCCUUUGAGUCUCAACCCCUUGGAAAUCUGAUUCCUUAUAGAAGGAUUGAAGCAUAUCAAAAUUUUCAGGGGUGCCCAUGAUUCUGGGUCUUUGAAAAAAGACCAGACUGAAAUUGCAAUCAGAUGUAUGGCAGCUGACAGUUUUUCAGAGGUAGGAUUUGUGUUCUGAAUGGAAGUCCUAGCACAGUGACUCCCCCGCCUCAGGACGAUGAGGACCCUGUGCCUUCAAGCAAAAUGCUGCUCACAGUUGCCCUGCCUUCAAGCUGGUCACUGUGUAAGGAGUCUCCCACAUAUACUUGGAAGGGUUAUUUUCUUAUGAAGACUUAGAGAAGAACUGUGUAGGCACAGGUGACUCCCCAAACAGCAGAAUCAUUUCCAGUCCUUACAUUCUAAUCCUAACCCCUUCUUUUCCACAGGAGUCUCUUUUGACUCUCCUGGUGGUGGGGUGUCUCAACCCUGAGGUGAAAAGAUGGAUCACCAUACUUACCAUUAUAAAAAUCUCCUGGCCAUUUUGAAGGGAGACAGAACAUCUGGGUGGCCUUUGAGACUCCCUGCUACUUCUGGGUCAGAGGAGAGUCGUUCUCAUAAAGAUGAUAGGUCCAGUUGCCUCUGUCCCAGGUGGUUCCACCAGACAUAGCUUAGAGGAGUUAACGCUUGAGGGCUUCUUUCCACAUCAAAUUUUACUAUUUGAAUGUUUGAUAAUGUUGACUUUUGGACAUCUUACUACUAUUCAAAAACAUUGGCUCUGCAUUAAGCAACAAAGCAAUAAAACAAAUACUUCAUGCCUGUGUUUUUGUGGGGUUUUUUAACCUUUGAAUAUUUCUUUGCAGCCCAUAAGUGAAGGAAUGAGCAACCUGUGGGUCUAAAUGUGAAUAUUACCUCACCACCAGUGAAAUCAUUGGAGGUGUUGAUUCUGUUUCCAGUAUCAACACGCAGGCACUUGUGAUGUAGGGACACUCUACACAGGAUAUUUGGCAUGGCUCAAAAUAAUCUUGGGCUGGGAAAGCUGGAGAGAACUUACCUCUGCUGCUAGAGAAUCAACCCACCUCACCUUGUAGAGGAGAAGCUGGGUGAUUCAAAUGGUUGGCUAAUAGUGGACACCACCCAACUUUAAUUCCAGUGAGAUUUGAGAACCAUUUCUGAUGACUUCAUCUUACAAAGCAGGAACAGAUUUGCUUCUUGUUCACAAGAGUGAUCUAUAUCAUGAGGAACUCAAAUGGGUUUGCUCCUGACAUCCCUCCUAUAGCUUUAACUUACUGUAAGUUAAAAUUGGGGGGGUUAAGGCUGGGGGAUGGUUCCAGUGAUAGAACACCUGCCUUGCAAGCUGAGGCCCUGAGUUCAAACCCUAGUACUACCCAAAAAACUGGGGGGACUUUCCAGUGAGUGCCCCCUAUGUGUGGACUUCAAGGUAGAGGAAUGUUGCAACAGGAUCUGACUGGAGUCGAUUAAAU